AGAGUUUGAUCCUGGCUCAGAGCGAACGCUGGCGGCAGGCUUAACACAUGCAAGUCGAGCGGGCGUAGCAAUACGUCAGCGGCAGACGGGUGAGUAACGCGUGGGAACGUACCUUUUGGUUCGGAACAACACAGGGAAACUUGUGCUAAUACCGGAUAAGCCCUUACGGGGAAAGAUUUAUCGCCGAAAGAUCGGCCCGCGUCUGAUUAGCUAGUUGGUGAGGUAACGGCUCACCAAGGCGACGAUCAGUAGCUGGUCUGAGAGGAUGAUCAGCCACAUUGGGACUGAGACACGGCCCAAACUCCUACGGGAGGCAGCAGUGGGGAAUAUUGGACAAUGGGCGCAAGCCUGAUCCAGCCAUGCCGCGUGAGUGAUGAAGGCCCUAGGGUUGUAAAGCUCUUUUGUGCGGGAAGAUAAUGACGGUACCGCAAGAAUAAGCCCCGGCUAACUUCGUGCCAGCAGCCGCGGUAAUACGAAGGGGGCUAGCGUUGCUCGGAAUCACUGGGCGUAAAGGGUGCGUAGGCGGGUCUUUAAGUCAGGGGUGAAAUCCUGGAGCUCAACUCCAGAACUGCCUUUGAUACUGAGGAUCUUGAGUUCGGGAGAGGUGAGUGGAACUGCGAGUGUAGAGGUGAAAUUCGUAGAUAUUCGCAAGAACACCAGUGGCGAAGGCGGCUCACUGGCCCGAUACUGACGCUGAGGCACGAAAGCGUGGGGAGCAAACAGGAUUAGAUACCCUGGUAGUCCACGCCGUAAACGAUGAAUGCCAGCCGUUAGUGGGUUUACUCACUAGUGGCGCAGCUAACGCUUUAAGCAUUCCGCCUGGGGAGUACGGUCGCAAGAUUAAAACUCAAGGAAUUGACGGGGGCCCGCACAAGCGGUGGAGCAUGUGGGUUAAUUCGACGCAACGCGCAGAACCUUACCAGCCCUUGACAUGUCUGGGACCGGUCGCAGAGACGCGACUU
rnacentral:rRNA from 1 species